AUGCUUUAACAUGCAGUCGAACGGCAGCACGGACUUCGGUCUGGUGGCGAGUGGCGAACGGGUGAGUAACAUAUCGGAACGUAUCCAAUAAUGGGGGAUAACGAGUCGAAAGAUUCGCUAAUACCGCAUACGCCCUACGGGGGAAAGCUGGGGACCUUCGGGCCUGGCGUUAAUGGAGCGGCCGAUAUCUGAUUAGCUAGUUGGUGAGGUAAAGGCUCACCAAGGCGACGAUCAGUAGUUGGUCUGAGAGGACGACCAGCCACACUGGAACUGAGACACGGUCCAGACUCCUACGGGAGGCAGCAGUGGGGAAUUUUGGACAAUGGGCGCAAGCCUGAUCCAGCCAUUCCGCGUGAGUGAAGAAGGCCUUCGGGUUGUAAAGCUCUUUCGCAAGGGAAGAAAACUUAGCCACUAACAUUGGUUGAGGUUGACGGUACCUUGAUAAGAAGCACCGGCUAACUACGUGCCAGCAGCCGCGGUAAUACGUAGGGUGCGAGCGUUAAUCGGAAUUACUGGGCGUAAAGCGUGCGCAGGCGGCUUUGUAAGUCAGAUGUGAAAUCCCCGAGCUCAACUUGGGAACUGCGUUUGAAACUACAAGGCUAGAAUAUGUCAGAGGGGGGUAGAAUUCCACGUGUAGCAGUGAAAUGCGUAGAGAUGUGGAGGAAUACCAAUGGCGAAGGCAGCCCCCCUGGGAUAAUAUUGACGCUCAUGCACGAAAGCGUGGGGAGCAAACAGGAUUAGAUACCCUGGUAGUCCACGCCCUAAACGAUGUCUACUAGUUGUUGGUGGAGUAAAAUCCACGAGUAACGCAGCUAACGCGUGAAGUAGACCGCCUGGGGAGUACGGUCGCAAGAUUAAAACUCAAAUGAAUUGACGGGGGCCCGCACAAGCGGUGGAUUAUGUGGAUUAAUUCGAUGCAACGCGAAAACCUUACCUGGCC
rnacentral:rRNA from 1 species